rnacentral:rRNA from 1 species
GACAGAGGCCUCGAGCGUUAGGCGGAAUCACUGGGCUUAAAGCGUGUGUAGGCGGACUUCUAAGUACCUUGUGAAAUCCCACGGCUCACCCGUGGAACUGCUGGGUAUACUGGUCGUCUUGAGCCACCUAGGGGCGAGCGGAACAAAUGGUGGAGCGGUGAAAUGCGUAGAUAUCAUUUGGAACGCCAACGGUGAAAACAGCUCGCUGGGGGUGUGCUGACGCUGAGACACGAAAGCCAGGGUAGCGAACGGG